ACACUUACUGCCACCUGUCAUCUCUUAACGCUGCUGGCUUUGGAAAAUGGCGCUCAGAAUUUUGCUUUGCCUUCACCGUUCUCUUUUUCCAUUUUCUCAUCAGUUUUCCUUUUCCCUUUCCAAAACCUAAAUUCAACCAUGGCCGCAUACCUCUUUCCACCAUGACAAUCUUCGAUCUGAAUAUUUAUAUCCAUUAUUCUGGUCGUUCGCUCCAUUUCGCAAGGAAUCAAGACUUGAUAACCACAAAGAAUUGCAUCAACAAUCAUCAAGAAUCAACAUAAUCCGUGUUAAUCAUCGAUUCUUGCUUCCAAUUUCUUAUUAUAGAGGAUCUGCCAUAUAUAUUUCCCUUGAUCUUCUCCAUCGAUCGAUGAUUCUGUGAAACCCUAAUUGGCGUUCAGCAUUCUCAUUCUCCAUUUGUGUUUCUAAUCCUAAGGUCCCAAUUAAGGCCUCUUUACGGAUAUUCUAAGAUCUUCAUUCUAUCAAUUCGAAUCAUGGGCUUCUUCGUAUUGGAUCUGUUUGCUGCUCCGACACAGAAAUGCCGCUCAUAUGGUUUUCGUAAUGAUGUGUUCCGAUUUGUUCCUCUACUAAAGUUAGGGUUUUUGUUUUCGUGUAGAGCAUAUUGUGUUCAAACGAUCGUUAAUUUGCAUAGAACAUAGAGACCUGUGAAUGUUAUUCAUCUGAAGCACAAGAUGGUCGAUCAGGUUAAUUUGUUCAUCUCGCUAAGUAUAUGUUGUGUGAUUGAUCAGGUUAAUUCGUCAAUCCAAGGUUAUUUGUGAGGAAAUCAUUCUUUCCAUAAAUCUGUAAACGUGAUUCUGCUUC